AUGGCGGCGCUCUGCUCCGCCGCCUCGCCGGCCGUCGCCAGGGCCGCGGCGCUCGGCCUGUCCGCGCGCGGCCCCGCCUCCCUCCUCCCCCUGCGCCUCCGCCUCCGCGCCGCCACGCGCUCCUGCUACGCCGCACCACGGGCCGCGCCGGUCGCGGCGUCGUGGCGCGCGCGGCGACGCUUCGCCGCGUCGGCCGCCUCCACCACGGAGGAGGGCGCGGACGUCGACACGGUGAUCCCGCCUGACAACCGCAUCCCCGCCACCAUCAUCACCGGCUUCCUCGGCUCCGGCAAGACAACUUUACUAAAUCACAUACUGACAUCUCACCAUGGAAAACGGAUCGCUGUCAUUGAGAAUGAGUAUGGUGAAGUUGACAUUGAUGGUUCGUUAGUUGCCGCACAAACUGCUGGAGCUGAGGACAUAAUGAUGCUGAACAAUGGUUGUCUUUGCUGCACUGUGCGUGGUGAUUUAGUCCGAAUGAUCAGUGAAUUGGUUGACAAGAAGAAGGGAAAGUUUGACCAUCUUGUCAUUGAAACCACAGGUUUAGCAAACCCAGCACCCAUAAUACAGACAUUCUACGCAGAAGAUACAGUUUUUAAUGAUGUCAAGCUAGAUGGUGUUGUUACUCUAGUGGAUUCAAAGCAUGCAAGGUUGCAUUUGGAUGAAGUGAAGCCCAAGGGUAUAGUCAAUGAGGCAGUUCAGCAAAUUGCUUAUGCUGACAGAAUUAUAAUUAACAAGACUGACCUUGUUAGCGAGCCUGAAGUUUCUUCCUUGGUUGAGCGUAUAAGGAGUAUCAAUCGCAUGGCUAAUUUGAAACGAGCUCAGUAUGGUAAAGUUGAUUUGGAUUAUGUGCUUGGAAUUGGAGGCUUUGAUUUGGAGAGGAUUGAGAGUGCUGUCACUGAAGAACCACAUGAUGAGCACGAACAUGAACAUGAACACAAGCAUGAACAUGAACAUCACCAUGACCAUGCCCACGACCACGACCAUGAUCACCAUCAUCAUGAUCAUGACCAUAAACAUGACCAUCAUGCGCAUGAUCACACCCAUGAUCCCGGUGUUUCUUCUGUAAGCAUCGUUUGCGAAGGGGAGAUGGAUCUUGAAAAGGCUGACAUGUGGUUGGGGAACCUACUGCUGGAACGCAGUGAUGACAUAUACCGGAUGAAGGGGCUGCUCUCAGUCAGUGGAAUGCCUCAACGCUUCGUCUUUCAGGGAGUGCACGACAUUUUCGAGGGAUCUCCCGACAGGAUGUGGGAGCCCAACGAGCCGCGCAUCAACAAGAUUGUGUUCAUUGGCAGGAACCUCAACCGGGAAGAGCUGGAGACGGGCUUCAAGGACUGCCUGCUGAAGUAG
rnacentral:rRNA from 1 species